CAGUCAAGUUUAGCCUAGCCCUGGACGCGCCGAUCAGGAAACAUCGAGGCUGCCGCAGUGAAACAAACAGAAAGAUUAGGAUCCGUACAGAAGUUUUAAACCGGCAAAGAAACUAUAUUUCAUGUGAAAUUAUUGCGGCAAGAUACAGUAAAGCGCGGUUAUUCCCUGCUCAAGUCAUUUCCCCUCCGGUUGGAUAAGCGGAGCUUUGCGAGCCUCACAAACAUUGAGCAUCAACCCUGGGGAAUUUUAACCAGCGACUCUAAACGUUGGACAUUGGCUGAGAGACGAGCGAUUCGAGUCAGGGUGUAGUGGUGCCCCCGCUCCCAGGCUCCAGGGCCUCUGGUGGCGGCGAGGAUGAAGCGCUUCAGGCGACACGGGCAGGAGAGCCAGAGGGACCGGCUGAAGCAGGACCUCUACCAGUUCAACAAGACAGUGGAGCAUGGCUUCCCCCACCAGCCCAGCGCUCUGGGCUACAGCCCCUCGCUGCAGCUCCUGGCCAUCGGGACUCGCUCCGGAGCCAUCAAACUCUACGGAGCCCCAGGCGUGGAGUUCAUGGGCCUGCACGACGAGAAUGCCGUGGUCACACGGGUCCACUUCCUCCCCUUCCAGCUGGAGCUGGUGACCUUGCUGGAUGACAACAGCCUUCACAUGUGGACCCUGAGGGCGCACAAGGGCGUGUCUGAGCUGCUGGAGAUUGGACGCUUCACGCUGACCGGACCGCCAGGGGCUCCCCCCAGCGUUACCAGGGUAACGUCGGUGCUGGCCCACUCAUCAGGAGAGCUGCUGCUGCUGGGGACGGAGGGGGGGCACGUCUUCGUGGUGGAGGUCCCUGGCUUCCGGGAGCUGGAGGAGAGGAACAUCAGCCUGGACCAGGUGGCCAACAGUGUACCAGAGGACUACAUCGGUCGGAGGAACCUCGAGCACGUGGAGACCCUGCAGGAGAACCCGGUGGACCCCAACCAGGUGGUGAUCGGCUACGGCCGCGGCCUCAUGGUGGUCUGGGACCUGGAGAAGCACCAGGCCGUCCAGCACAUCCCCGCCACGCAGCAACUGGAGAGCACCUGGUGGACGGAGGACGGCGGCCAUAUUCUCAGUUCCCAUAGCGACGGCAGCUACUGCCGGUGGACCGUCGGGGGGCAGAGUUCCAAGGACGAGGAGGAGAAGUCAGACAUUCCUUACGGCCACUUCCCAUGCAAGGCCAUUUCCAAAAUCGUCCAGCUACCCACAGAAGAAGGGCCUCCCUUCCUGCUGUUCAGCGGCGGCAUGCCCAGGGCCAGCUACGGGGACAGGCACUGCAUCAGCGUCAUCCACGGCAAGACCCACGUCGCGCUGGACUUCACCUCCCGCAUCAUCGACUACUUCGUCAUCAGGGACGGCCCGCUGCACACAGGCGACCCCGGAGCCCUGGUGGUGUUGGUGGAGGAGGAGCUGGUGGUGAUAGACCUCCAGACGGAGGGCUGGCCGGUCAUCCAGACGCCCUACCUGGUGCCCCUGCACAGCUCGGCCAUCACCUGCUCCCAUCACGUCUCCGCCAUCCCCCUAAAGCUGUGGGAGCGCCUGCUGGCCGCGGGCCAGCUGCAGAUCACACACUACUCCCCCAAGCCGUGGCCCAUCACAGGGGGCCAGAACCUGGGUCAGGACCCCCCCCAGAGGGAUCUGCUCCUCACAGGACACGAGGACGGGACGGUGCGGUUCUGGGACGCGUCGGGGGUGUGCCUGUACCCCAUGUACAAGCUGAGCACCGCGGGGGUCUUCCACACCGACGCAGACCCCAACGACAACAUGAACCAGUGCUCUGAAGGAGAGUGGCCUCCCUUCAGAAAGGUGGGCUGCUUCGACCCCUACAGUGACGACCCUCGGCUGGGCGUCCAGAAGAUCCACCUGUGUAAAUACAGCGGUUACCUGACCGUCGCCGGCACUGCAGGACAGAUCCUGGUGCUGGAGCUCAACGACGAGGCAGCUGAGCAGACGGUGGAGGCCAAGAUCGUUGACCUACUGCAGGGGCAGGAGGGCUUCCGCUGGAAGGGCCACACGCGGCUGGACGUGCGGGAGGAGCCGGUGCUGUUCCCUCCCGGGUUCCAGCCCUUCGCCCUGGUGCAGUGCCAGCCGCCCGCCGUGGUCACCGCCCUCACGCUGCACUCCGAGUGGAAGAUGGUGGCGUUCGGCACCAGCCACGGCUUCGGCCUCUACGACUACCAGCAGAAGAACUCUGUGCUGGUCAAGUGCACCCUGAACCCCAGCGACCAGCUGGCCAUGGAGGGCCCUCUGUCGCGGGUGAAGAGCAUCAAGAAGUCCCUGCGCCAGUCCUUCCGGAGGAUCCGCCGCAGCCGCGUGUCCCUCAGGAAACACCACGUCACCAACGCCGCCAAGCUCCAGGAGGCCAACGCCCGCCUGGAGGCAGAGCUGGCGGAGAUGGAGCUGGCCCCGGUCCAGAGGAAGAUCGAGGCCCGCUCCUCUGAGGACUCCUUCACCGGCCUCGUGCGGACGCUCUACUUCGCCGACACCUUCCUGUCAGACAGUUCUCACAACAGUGCCUCGUUAUGGGCGGGGACUAACGGCGGCUCAGUGUUCGCCUACAUGAUCCGCAUGCCGUCGGUGGAACACCGCGCCGACGAACCCAUCACAGCACACCCCGCCAAGGAGAUCCAGCUGAUGCACCGGGCCCCCGUGGUGGCCAUCGUGGUGCUGGACGGCCACGGCUCCCCCCUCCCCGAGCCCCUGGAGGUGGCCCACGACCUGGCCCGCUCCCCCGACAUGCAGGCCUCCCACCAGCUGCUGGUGGUCUCCGAGGAGCAGUUCAAGAUCUUCACGCUGCCCAAAGUGAGCGCCAAGAUGAAGCUGAAGCUGACGGCGCUGGACGGCUCGCGGGUGCGGCGGGUGGGCGUGGCCUGGUUCGGCAGCAGCCGCACGGCCGACGCGGGCGAGAGCGGCCUGGUGGUUCUGACCAACCAGGGCGACCUCAACGUGGUGUCGCUGCCCUCCGUCAAGAUGCAGGUGCAGCACCCCUGCAUCCGGCGCGAGGAUGUCAGCGGCAUCGCGUCCUGCGUGUUCACCAAGCACGGCCAGGGCUUCUACCUGAUCUCGCCCUCUGAGUUUGAGCGCUUCUCGCUGUCGGCCCGCAACGUGGUGGAGCCCCGCUCGCUGGUGGAGGUCCCCGCCAACGCCACCGCGGCCAGCAAGCGCCGAGCGGCGCCCGACGGAGCCUCCGCCGACAAUGGAAACGCCAGGAGGGACGACGCGGACACAGGUAACAAAACAAAGUUCAACCGCCAUGCGCCACCCAAUCACCGAUCCACAUUUAACUCACUAAAUGUGACGCUUUCAUGCAUUAAACGCACAUGCCACCCGACCGCUGCUCCCUCCAUGCUUGUGUUCAUGUCCCGCCGAAUAAUAAGCAUUGUCAAAUGUCGUGAUCUAAUAUCAAGCGCUAUGUAUACACACACACACACACACACACACACACACACACACACACACACACACACACACACACACACACACACACACACACACACACACACACACACACACACACACACACACACACACACACACACACACACACACACACACACCCUCCCCUCCCCUCCCCUAACGAUCUACCUGCCUGCGCGUGUCUUGUCCGUGGCCCUGUGUGUGUACUGAUGUGCUUGCUGCCUGUGUGAUUCCAGAGAGCACUGCUAGGAGCGUUAUGGAACACGCUCUGCUGAAUGAUGAGCAGGUCCUCCAGGAGAUCCAGAAGUCACUAGAAGGAGAGCCCACACUGAGCUAGCGCCCGGAGCCCCCGCCUCCUGACGUUCCUCCAGACCAACGAUACUACUACUACUACAACUAGUCCUAGUGCGGCUAGCCCUGCCGCUAGUCCUAGUUCUACUACCACUACUGACCCAGCGACCCGCGACCUGCAGCCCCUCCCCAGGGACCCCCAGACGGCCGUGGUCCGUCUUCCCUCCAGGACUACGGACUCCUCUGGGCAGCCCUGUCGGCCAAUCUGGACGGAGCAGGGGAGGGACCACCGCCUGUGCCUAGAGACCAGACACUGCAACCCACCCUUCCCUAUAAACACACACACACACACACACACACACGUGCGCGCGCGCUCAUGCUGAACUUUGUACCGCCACCCCCAUAAACGAGGACUGUAAAGUGGACGCUUUAACCCGCGGACCGACCCCUCCACCCAUAAAGUCCCUUAUAGCACAGGCCUUAUGAUUGGCUGUUCAAACAGAAGCAGGCUGCUCCAACUGCCACAACACCAUCACCACCACCACCACCACCUCCACCUCCUCCUCCACCAUAAUGCCCCCGUCAGCCUGACACCACCCCCAGCCUUUGUCGGUUUCCUCUUCUACUGUGGAACUGGUUUGCCAAUCAACCAAUCAAUCAAUCACUCGCCACGUGCUGCACAGUCCUGCUGGACCCCCAUUCCCACUCCCCACCCUCCACCCUUCAAAUCGCAACCCCCCCCACCCCCCCACCCCCCACCCACGCAUCCACACGGAUGCGGCGAAGCAAGGCCACGAUGACAAUGAUAAUUUUUGUGCCUAUUUUGGAUAGUAGUUUUUGAUAUUGUGAUGACAGACUAAAUCUUCCAGAUCGACGUGUAAUUCUAGGGAAAGGAAAAGGAUGUCCCUAAGUAAAAAAAGAGAAAUCAAAAGGAUGUGGCACAUAAACGGACACAGAAGAUUAUUUUAUUGUUCUCAUGUUUUUGGGUUUUUUUGUUUUGUUUAUUAAGUUACCACAAAGAAUCAAUCUGGCAUCUUACAAGCUUUUUCAUUGGAUCGCUUGCAGCCAGCCUACUUUUUCCCGUCCAAUCGUAUCACCCAUUCCAUCGAGCUGUAACCUGCCGCAGGUACUCAUCCAAUCAGGUUGGCCGGAUCGUGCGGCCAUUCUUGUUUUUGUUUUGUAGGGAAAACAAACUUUUUAUGGGGCUUUUAAUAUUUGUAUGUAAAUCGUUUUUAUGCCCGUAAUGAAUAAUGUAAUUUAGGAAUGUAAUUUUAAGAUAUUGUAGUGAAAUGUUUUAAUAUAUAUGGAUCUGUAUCUGUGUGUGGAACAGUGGGUCUAUUUUAACAAGGGCUUGGCUGCUAUUUAGUCUAAACUCACAAGGAAAUAUUUUGGUACUCUCUCUAAACAAAAGAUGCUGGGAAUUUUAGCAUUACGUGGCCUAGAAUAUAUUUUUGUAGUGAAUGAUUAAGUCCAAAAUCCCUAAUUUUUGUGUUUUUGUUUUUUAAAUGACUUUGAUUUGUAACUUCACACUACAGUUUUAUGCUGGAUAAUUAUUACAUGUUUUUUCACAAGAA